CCAAAUGUCCUUCUGACAAAUCCGAAGAAGAGAGUCUCUCAGGGACAAACUGAACCCUAAACCUUGAAGUCGGCGUCCUGCACACAGUUUAUGGGUGAAUAUUGCUCUGGAUCAACAAGCGAUGCUCCACAUUCUUCUCCAUAAACUGUCAAUUUAUGGCUCAUCUUUCAUUUAAACGUCUGAAUCAGGGUUGGUGAACAUCUGGAAACUGAGGAAACAUCAAUAGUCACAUUUAAUUAUUUGGGUAGUUUGGUUUUAAUAAAAAGGUUGAAAUGAAAUAAAACGAGGAUGAUUAUUUUAGGAGACGUUCAAAUCAAUGAAAGCAUCAAAGUGCUCACAGACUAGUGUGUUCAUCUCAAACAAAUCCACCAUAUUUACUCUUUGAUACUUCUGCUGUUUGGGUUGAAUCAUUGUUGGUAACAAACGUGUAAAUACACACACACACACGUUGGGUUCCAUCACUGGGGAAACACUGCAAACACAUCAGCGACAUCCAGACACUCUGUGAGCUGGUUGUCUGUCUGUCUGCGUCUCAUGCUGGUGAGAAACUGGCUUCCAGCUCUCUGUGUGGACGGGGAGGGAGUCCAUCCCCAACACACACACACACACACACACAAAAUAUUGACAUUAAAACAUUUAUUUUUUGAUUGUGUAAAUAGUUUGCUUGUAUUUUUCUUUGCAGUAGAUUGAAUUUAACAGGUUGAAGAAAAUAAUAAUUUGAGGGUUUUCUGAAUAAAUCAGUAUGUUUAUUGGUU